rnacentral:tRNA from 1 species
GCUGCUGUGGCUCAGUUGGUAGAGCAGCGCAUUCGUAAUGCGCAGGUCACCAGUUCGAAUCUGGUCAGCAGCUCCA